CCGUGCUAGGUGGGAAGGUAGCGGUGUCCUGUACUCGCAAUCCGCUGUAGCGAGACUGAAUUCCCAUCUGAGGUGCACAAUAAUAAGGUCUGCCAUAAAGAAUUGGUGUUGAUGUUUGGGUCCCGCGCAAUGGGAGCCCGUGAACCCUGUCAGGUCCGGAAGGAAGCAGCAGUAAGCGGUUUUCUCUCGUGUGCCGCGGGGAAGCCUGAGCUGAGCCAUGCAUUUAUGUAACGCUUAGGGUUGUGCCAUCGAGGAUGGGUGCACGG
rnacentral:SRP_RNA from 1 species